GGGACAAAGAGGCAUGAGGAAAUGUUUAUUGAACGGUAUCUGGUAAAGAUUUUCCUACCUGAUAAAAGCAGAGAUGCUGAGAGAUAAUCAAGUUGAAAUGAGGUCAUUAAGAGAGGUCCUGAUCCAAAAUGAUGGUAUCCUUAUUAAAAAGGGGAAAUUAAGAUACAGACAGGCACUGAGAAAAGAUGAUGUGAAGAAACACAACAAAAAGAUGGUCAUCUAAAAAAAAAAAAAAAAAAAAGAUGGUCAUCUAUAAGCCAACGAUGGUCAUCAACAAGCCAAUGAGUACCUGAAGCUACCAGAAGCAACUGACAGCAAAGUGCCCUCUCAGUGGGGCGCUGUACAUGUAAUCCAGCUAAGAAAGUAAAACCAAGAACCAAGAUGCCUUUUACCCCAGUGCAGUAAUACUGCUGAACAAGGAAAUCUCCACUUGCUGUCCCUUGGAAACAGCACCAAAAGAGGGCAUGGAACAUGUGUGUAUGAUGCAACCAGCUGCGCAUGGAAUCAACUCUUAAUUAAACAUUACUUAAGAGUUAUAAAACUAGGGUCACCACUGCCAUUUUCAUUUCAGUGGAAC